UACAAACAGUUUAAAUAGCUUUCAAUAAAACAAGUAUUUUUGUAAGUUGGAAAGCUGACAGCAAAAAAAAAAUAAGAACUCAUUGAAAAAGAAAGAUUAAGUAUCAUUAAGUUUUAAAGCAGAGUCAUAAAGCCAUGAAUGUAAUUGUUAUGUUGCUGACAUUUAUGAUAGUGUAUGGUAUUCAAGCUGAUGAUAACUCUUCCGCUAAAAAGUGUCCUGAAAAUCACGAACUAUGCGGAACAAAAUGCAGAAAUGUUACCUAUGAAAUAUGUUGCAAUGGAAUUGUUCGAUCUUAUUCAACAUUUGGAAAAUGCGGGAGCAGAUGCUUUUACUACCGUACUCAAUACUGUAAAAAUGGACGCGUUUUCGCUAGUCGUUAAAAAAAGUUUUUUUUCAUAAGGUUUUUUUAGAAUGUAAUAAUUUUAAUAAUCUUAAAGUUUAUUGU